CGGCGGGGGAACCGCCUGGUUGCGCCGGGGACACGCGUGGGAGCGGCGGCCGCGGUCCUCAGGGCGCGUCGCCCCGCGGGAGGGACACCUCGCCUUCCCAGAGGACUGCAACCCACGUUCUCCCUUCUGUGAAGUCGGAAGGAGGCAAAACUUCAGAUGGAAAAGCAGGCAAAGAUAACCCACGUCCUGUUCCUCCCUGGGAACCCGGGGAACUUUGUGGGGCCCUUUGGAGGCAGCGCAGGCACUCAGCGGUGUCUGUGCUCCGCCGGGACAUCCAUUCCGUUUAGGGGUUAACAUCUCCCAGCCCCGCUUGCCCCUGAAGCCGGUGCCGGAUCCGAACCAAGGCAGAGUGGAGCUGCGGGUGUUCCAGGGGGCUCAACCCCCAGCUGGCAGCAUCACCCCCUCAGCCAGCACCACCUCUGCCGUCCCUGCCCACCGCUGCAGCCACUCCGCGGGGGUUUUCCGAAAACCCUCCUUCCUCUGAGCAAGAUCUGACAUUUCAGAAACAAUUUGGGAAGUUAACAACUUUUAAAGAA